AUGGGCUUCGUCUAGUGGUUAGGACGUUCGUUUGAUGGACAAAAUACGUGAGUUCAAAUCUCGUAGCCC
rnacentral:tRNA from 1 species